ACACCGGUGGUUCAGUGGUAGAAUUCUUGCCUUCCAUGCAGGGAGCUAGGGUUCAAUUCCUGGCCAGUGUA
rnacentral:tRNA from 1 species